GACGAACGCUGGCGGCGUGCUUAACACAUGCAAGUCGAACGGAAAGGCCCUGCUUUUGUGGGGUGCUCGAGUGGCGAACGGGUGAGUAACACGUGAGUAACCUGCCCUUGACUUUGGGAUAACUUCAGGAAACUGGGGCUAAUACCGGAUAGAAGCUCCUGCUGCUUGGUGGGGGUGGGAAAUUUUCGGCGGUUGGGGAUGGACUCGCGGCUUAUCAGCUUGUUGGUGGGGUAGUGGCUUACCAAGGCUUUGACGGGUAGCCGGCCUGAGAGGGUGACCGGCCACAUUGGGACUGAGAUACGGCCCAGACUCCUACGGGAGGCAGCAGUGGGGAAUAUUGCACAAUGGGCGGAAGCCUGAUGCAGCAACGCCGCGUGCGGGAUGACGGCCUUCGGGUUGUAAACCGCUUUCGCCUGUGACGAAGCGUGAGUGACGGUAAUGGGUAAAGAAGCACCGGCUAACUACGUG
rnacentral:rRNA from 1 species